CAUAUCUUUUUGUAUUCUUGUAUUCUCCCUGCAGGUCCCAUUCUCUGUGUCCUGUGUGUGGAAUUGUACAGAACAAAAUAGAAAUAAUUGAGGUGCACAAAUAGUUGCUGUGUUCACAAAACAAGGUGUUACUACCAUUUAUUUGAAGGUCAAAAAAAACAAACAAUUUGGGGUAAUCCCUUUGUCAAUGCAUCAUGUUCCUCCCCCAUAC